CUAGAGCCUUCUGCAGGGCUCAGGACACAUUCCCCAACACACCCAGGGCCAAUAAUUUGCACUGGGAUACAGAGAGGAGGCUCGGGGCCUCUGUCAACAGAUUGCCAUCCACUUAGAUGAGUAAAUGGCAUCCAGCACAGUCCUGGGCACAUGAAUUGGUGCUGAUGCUGCUGAAGGAGUGAAUGCAGGCCAGAAGGAAGGAGUGCUGGGGAAGAAGUGAGCCAUGGAGCAGGCAGGAACCACGGACAGAGGCCUCCCAGUUCACUCGGGGACAUAUCCGCAGAUGUGAGAACUCAGAGAGAUGUUCAAGUUUCCUAAGAGGGCUUCAAUCAUGGCUCACAGACUACUAAUUUCCAGUUUCUUCUCUACCAGUCUGGAUGCCCAUGGUGAACUUUAGAGAUAUCCAUCAGCUCCAUCAAUUCCCUCAACUACAUCUACCUAGCUUUUGAGCCCAGAAGAACCCAAUCAUGUGUGUUCUCCUCAGCUCCCAGGCUGCUGAGCAAUGCUGGAGAAAAAUCACAAAACUAUACAGUUUGGUAUCUCUCCAGAAUUAUGGUUUCCAGCUUGAGUUGGAAAUUCAGAAUUACUUCAAAAUGUUUAAAUUUGUUUCUGGUCAGUUUCCUCCUUCAUUUCCCAGUUUCAUUUAUCACUCUAUUUAACUUGUUACCCAUCGCUGUCUGCUAUUAACCUUGCCUCCUUUUACACGAGAAAACAGAGGCCAUCAAAUGGCAUUUCCCAUCACUCCAUCACUCCACCUCUGUCAAUGAAUCCACCAGUAACAUCUCAGAGAUCCUUCUGUCUAGCACUGAUGAUCUUAUUGUAUCAGUUACUCCUUCUUCCUUUUGUAUUUUCAAUGCUCCUAUUGGCCACCAACAUGCUUUAGCUGUUCUCAUCUAAAGAAACAAUAACAACCACAAUAAACUAACAAACAAUAAACCAUCUUUAACAGACCUUACCUUUUCCUCUUUUGCGCCACCUUCAAGCUUCCUAAACUCAGAUUUAUUCCUCAAUCCAUUACAAUCUGGUUUCUAAUUAAACAAUUUUUUGCCAGCAUCACCAAAAACUUCUGAAUUGCUAGUCUCCAAGGUCCUUUCUUCAACCUCAUUGUUUUCUUUCUUUUAAAAGUCAAGUUCACUGAAGUAUAAUUUACGUACAAUAAAAUUCGCCCUUUUAAUACUCUUUUACCAUCUAAUAAGUUUUGCCUUGUAUGUUGGUUCCCUGAGACCUGUAAAACAACUCCCAAAUCCCAAACCCCUUUGCUUCAUACACAAAUCCC
rnacentral:lncRNA from 10 species